rnacentral:rRNA from 1 species
AGUGAACGCUGGCGGCGUGCCUAAUACAUGCAAGUCGAACGAAGUGGCGCACGGGUGAGUAAUAUAUAGUUAAUCUGCCCUACACAGAGGAACAACAGUUGGAAACGACUGAUACUACCUCAUAGUGUAGGAUGAGACUAUAUCGUAUCAGCUAGUUGGUAAGGUAAUGGCGUAUCAAGGCUAUGACGCGUAACUGGUAUGAGAGGAUGAUCAGUCACAUGUGAACUGAGACACGGUGCAAACUCCUACGGGAGGCAGCAGUAAGUGAUAUUGCGUAAUGGGGGAAACCCUGACGCAGCAACGCCGCUUGGGGUAUGACACUUGUCGGAGCGUAAACUCCUUUUAUCAGUUAAGCGGUACCUGAUGAAUAAGCACCGGCUAACUCCGUGCCAGCAGCCGCGGUAAUUC